GUGAGGAAUAUUGGACAAUGGGCGCAAGCCUGAUCCAGCCAUGCCGCGUGCAGGAAGACGCAUCUAUGGUGUGUAAACUGCUUUUGUACGGGAAGAAACACUCCCUCGUGAGGGAGCUUGACGGUACCGUAAGAAUAAGGAUCGGCUAACUCCGUGCCAGCAGCCGCGGUAAUACGGAGGAUCCAAGCGUUAUCCGGAAUCAUUGGGUUUAAAGGGUCCGUAGGCGGUUUAAUAAGUCAGUGGUGAAAGCCCAUCGCUCAACGAUGGAACGGCAAUUGAUACUGUUAGACUUGAAUUACAAGGAAGUAACUAGAAUAUGUAGUGUAGCGGUGAAAUGCUUAGAUAUUACAUGGAAUACCAAUUGCGAAGGCAGGUUACUACUUGUGGAUUGACGCUGAUGGACGAAAGCGUGGGGAGCGAACAGGAUUAGAAACCCCAGUAGUCC
rnacentral:rRNA from 1 species